rnacentral:rRNA from 1 species
CCUACGGGAGGCUGCAGUGGGGGAUAUUGCACAAUGGGGGAAACCCUGAUGCAGCGACGCCGCGUGUGGGAAGACGGUCCUCUGGAUUGUAAACCACUGUCCCCAGGGACGAAGAUGACGGUACCGGGGGAGGAAGCUCCGGCUAACGACGUGCCAGCAGCCGCGGUAAUACGUAGGGAGCGAGCGUUGUCCGGAAUUACUGGGUGUAAAGGGAGCGUAGGCGGGACUGCAAGUUGGGUGUCAAAUCUACCGGCUCAACCGGUAGCCGCACUCAAACAGGCAGUUCUGGAGUGAAGUAGAGGCAGGCGGAAUUCCUAGUGUAGCGGUGAAAUGCGUAGAUAUUAGGAGGAACACCAGUGGCGAAGGCGGCCUGCUGGGCUUUUACUGACGCUGAGGCUCGAAAGUGUGGGGAGCAAACAGGAUUAGAUACCCCUGUAGUC